UCAUUUACACACAAUGUCCCCGGGCCUGACCCAGGCAGAGGCUUGAAAAGAGCCCGGGCCCCACUCUCCUCAGGCCCUCACCUCAUGAGGCCCUAGAGAUCCCCCUACACGGAAGCCAACACUGGAUGCCCUGGGGAUCUUAGCGCCCCAGCUCCAGGGCCUUGGAACAUGCUGCUCCUUGCUCUUCUUCAGACCAGCUUGUCUCCACAAUCGCUUCCUCCAGGACGUCUUCCUUUAGCUUCCUGUGACACACACUCAUAGCAAUGGAUACUUCUCAAGAUGAGAAAACUGAGACUCACAGAGGGACAGGAUUGCCGGUGGUCAGAUAGCUGGUAAGUAUUGCAGCUGGUCUGGGAACCCGGUGCUCAGACUCAAAGCCAGUGCUCUUGAUCACUUCACUACACUGUAAGCCCAGAAAGGGGCCCAGGGGUGGACGGGGCACAGGCAGUGAGUAGUGGUGAACAGGUGAGGGGGUGGAGUCUCUAGUCUCCCUCAUCCAGGUCUGGGGGACGGGGGUGGCAUCACUCCCCUGCUUGAAACGCUCCUGUGGCUCCCCAAUCACAUUUUGAACAAAACCCAAAGAUUGCUGGGCCCCCCAGGACCCAGCCCCCUGCUCCCUCGGGCAUCUCCUCUCCUACCGUUUGCUCACUGCCUUCCUGCCACCAGGCAUCCUGACUGCUCACUGACAUGCCAGGUAGCUCCCAUCUCAGGCUUUUGUUCCUGCCCUCCCCUCCACAUGGAAUGUUCUUUUUCCAGCUCUCGGAGUUCGCUCCCUCACUACAAUCACACCUCCGCUCAAAUGUCACCUCUCCAGAGAGAACUGGCCCUAUCUAAACUAGCUCCCCAUCAGUGGCAUCACCUAUGCUAUCCUUGCUUAAUGGCAUGCCUCUACCAACAAUCAUAUUGCCUAUUACCUGUGUUAUUGUUUCUCCCAGUAGAAUAAAGCUCCAUGAGGCAGGACUUGUCUGCGUUGUCUACUGCUGUAUCCCUGGAUACAUCUGGCAUAUUGCAAGCCCUCAAAACAUACUUUUGAAUGGAGCCACACCAACCUGGGCUCUAAUCCCAGCUCUCCCACCUCCUAGCUGUGUAACUCUGAGCAUUUAGUUAACCCCUAUAGCCUCAGUUUCCGCAUCUGUAAAAGGGGUGGCUGUGAGUAUUAAGUUAUAUCGGGCAGUAAAGAUCUGUGUGGUGCUUGGCACAUGAAGGUGCUCAAUACAAAAUUAGCCCAUCUCUCUUGCCCCCUAAUUCUUGCCCUGGGCAAAGGAGGGGAGGGCAGGAGACUCGGACUUGGAGGAUUCACUGGGUGGACUCUCUGUUGGUGUGAGAAGAGACUUCAGUUUAAAGGAAGUCGCAUGACUGUGAUCACAAGGCUGGUAAAGAAUGAGGCUAAAGAUGUAGUGGUCAGAAAGGAAGAGGAGGGACAAGCGCCUGCAGAUGGGACAGCCCCAAGGCUGCUGGAGAAUUGGCCAGUAGUCUCCUCCACUGACCUGGAGUCUAGGGGGGAUGCAGAAGCUUGUUCCUGUCUGUUAGAGAGUGUGGAAAAGGACUCGGAGGUCGAAGGACAGAAGAGGAAGCAUAGGUCAUCAGUAGGUACUUAUCGGGCACCAGCUAUGUAGCAGGCACUGGGGAUACAGCAAAGGAAUAGACAGAGAGGGUGUCUGCCCUCUAGGAUGGGGGUGGGUGAAUUAGGGCCCAUGGGCCAAGUCUGACCUACUUUUAUGUGACGUGUUAUUAUUAUUUAUUUUGAGAGAGAAAGAGCGCAAGCAUGCAUGCAGGAAGGGCAGAGAGAGAGGAAGAGAGAAAGAAUCCCAAGCAGGCUCCGCAC